rnacentral:rRNA from 1 species
UACGGGGGGAGCAAGCGUUGUUCGGAUUUACUGGGCGUAAAGGGCGCGUAGGCGGUCAGCACAAGUCAGUUGUGAAAUCUCCGGGCUUAACUCGGAAAGGUCAACUGAUACUGUGCGACUAGAGUGCGGAAGGGGCAACUGGAAUUCUCGGUGUAGCGGUGAAAUGCGUAGAUAUCGAGAGGAACACCUGCGACGAAGGCGGGUUGCUGGGACGUUACUGACGCUGAGACGCGAAAGCGUGGGGAGCAAACAGG